GUUUGAUCAUGGCUCAGGAUGAACGCUGGCGGCAUGCCUAAUACAUGCAAGUCGAACGGAGUGAAGCCUUCGGGUUUCAUUCAGUGGCGAACGGGUGAGUAAUACGCAGGGAACCUGGCCAUGGCAGGGGGAUACACUCUGGAAACGGAGCAUAAGACCCCAUAGGCAGUAAGGCGGCAUCGCCUUACUGUUAAAGAAAGCUGAAAGGCUUUGGCGAUGGAUGGACCUGCGGUGCAUUAGCUUGUUGGUGAGGCAACGGCUUACCAAGGCGAUGAUGCAUAGCCGGCCUGAGAGGGCGGACGGCCACACUGGGACUGAGACACGGCCCAGACUCCUGCGGGAGGCAGCAGUAGGGAAUUUUCGUCAAUGGGCGCAAGCCUGGACGAGCAAUGCCGCGUGAGUGAGGAAGGUCUUCGGACUGUAAAGCUCUGUUGCCGGGGAAAAAGGGGAAAUGCAGGAAAUGGCAUUUCAUGGAUGGUACCCGGCCAGAAAGCCACGGCUAACUACGUGCCAGCAGCCGCGGUAAUACGUAGGUGGCGAGCGUUAUCCGGAAUGAUUGGGCGUAAAGGGUGCGCAGGCGGUCUGUUAAGUCUGAAGGCAAAGGGAUGAGCUCAACUCAUUUAUGAUUCAGAAACUGGCAGACUUGAGGACAGGAGAGGGCGGUGGAACUCCAUGUGUAGCGGUAAAAUGCGCAGAGAUAUGGAAGAACACCAGUGGCGAAGGCGGCCGCCUGGCCUGUGACUGACGCUGAGGCACGAAAGCGUGGGGAGCAAAUAGGAUUAGAUACCCUAGUAGUCCACGCCGUAAACGAUGAGGAGCAGGUGUUGGGAGUGAAAUCUCAGUGCCGAAGCCAACGCAGUGACUCCUCCGCCUGGGGAGUAUGCACGCAAGUGUGAAACUCAAAGGAAUUGACGGGGGCCCGCACAAGCGGUGGAGUAUGUGGUUUAAUUCGAAGCAACGCGAAGAACCUUACCAGGUUUUGACAUCGGAUGCGAAGGCGCAGAGAUGCGCUGGAGGCUAUCAUCCAGACAGGUGGUGCAUGGUUGUCGUCAGCUCGUGUCGUGAGAUGUUCAGUUAAGUCUGGCAACGAGCGCAACCCCCGUGGUAUGUUACUAACGCAUUUGGGCGAGGACUCAUAUCAGACUGCCGGUGACAAACCGGAGGAAGGCGGGGAUGACGUCAAAUCAUCAUGCCCCUUAUGACCUGGGCUACACACGUACUACAAUGGCGUCUACAGAGGGAAGCGACCCUGAGAAGGGAAGCGAAACCGGAAAAGGGCGUCCCAGUUCGGAUUGAAGUCUGCAACCCGACUUCAUGAAGAUGGAAUCGCUAGUAAUCGCGGAUCAGCAUGCCGCGGUGAAUACGUUCCCGGGCCUUGUACACACCGCCCGUCAAACCAUGGAAGCCGGCAACGCCCGAAGCCGGUGGCAUAACCUUUUAGGAGUGAGCCGUCGAAGGCGGGGCCGAUGACUGGGGUUAAGUCGUAACAAGGUAACC
rnacentral:rRNA from 1 species